rnacentral:piRNA from 1 species
UGAUCAAAAACUGCUAUCAAA